GACAUGAGAGUUUCUUCUCAUCCAGCUCCUCGCGAAAAAAAUGACUAAAAAAUAUUUUAUUUUAUUCUUAAGAUAUAUAGGUAGUUACUGAAUAAUAGAUUGAAUCCUGGGAUUCUUUGCUUUGAGAUUUUAUCUGAUCUAUUUGAGAUUUUAUCUGAUCUAUUAUAAAUUUGUAUAUCUUGUUUGGAUAUAUAUUGGAUAUAUAUAUAAGUAAUUAAACAUGGAUUCUAUUUAUAGAUAAUGUCUUAUCUUGUUUUUGUUAUAAUGUUAUAACGAAUCUUUAUUUUGUUUUGUCUUUUUUAUCAUAUUCAUCUCGGAUCGACAAAAAUUUAACAAUCAAAUAAAAUGAAAAUAAAAUUUUUAAAAUGAAAAUAAAAAAAAAAAAUGAAAAUAAAAUUUUUAAAAUGAAAAUAAAAUUUUCGCGGGCGAAUAUUUACUCUUUCAAUAUCUAUUUCAGUUGUCGGGUUAACUCAUGACCUCUCAGAAUCAGAACAGAAUAAAAAGAAAUGAAGUGGUCUCUGGUUUGUUCCGCCAUCCUACCCGAUAAAUCAUUAGGAUUCGUUUUCAAUAGAAUCCUCUGCAUUCACGGGUUCCGUCGUCCCCAUCGCUUCUCGAUUAAUGCUUAGGUCUGAAUUCUCCAAUGGAGCCUUAAUUUAAUAUUUAAUAAAAAUUUAAUAUUUAAUAAAAAUAAAAAUUUAAUAUUUAAUAAAUAAUAUUUAAUAAAAAAAUUUGUUAAUUUGUUCUUUAGUCAACCUUCUCAGUCUUUAUUGACUUAAGGCUCUUGAUUUUUUCUUCGAUGAACAGAUAUUCAUCUAAUUAUUGAUGAAUCUCUAUUGAUGCUCUAUUACAUUGCUCUUUAUGAGAUGCUUCGUAGACCUUACAUAUUGGAAUCAUAUAUCAUUUCAUUUCUAUUUCUUUUUCUCUCUUUCUCUCAUCCUUCUAUUUAUCCACAUACUUUUUUAUUUUGCUUCACAAUUUAGAUAUAUUCAUAAUCAGAUUGGUUUUUUUUUACUUAACUUAAUGCAAAAAAAAGAUUUCAGUUGCUAUAAUGAUAUGACCAAUAUAUCAUAUCUUGACUGAUUCUUUGGAUCCAGAUAAUCCGAAGCGAUGAGUUGGUUAUUAGUGCUAUAGUUAUUAACUUAUACUGUGGUUCGCCCAUUUUUUUUUUUGAAUCCUAAGCCUAAAAACCCAACGAGUCGCACACUAAGCAUAGCAAUUAUAUCAAAUGAUCAAUCAAAUUUUUAUUUAACCUUAUAGAAUAUAGAAUUUAGAACUGCUCAUUUUUUUAUUGAACAUAAAAAAAUGAAAGAAUUUGUCAUUUUUUGUUCUAUCGCAGAAUAGAACGUAAAGACA
rnacentral:lncRNA from 1 species